GUCCCUAUAGUCUAGUGGUUAUGACGUCACAUUGUGGUUUCAUGGGUUACUGUGGAGGCACCUGUUCGAUUCAGGUUAGGGACA
rnacentral:tRNA from 2 species